AGGGUUCCCAAACACUUCAGAAGUAUGCAUAAUGUGGCAUUUAAAAUGUCUACUAAAAAAGCUUUUCAUGAUAAGGACGUAUAACAGCUCCUGGCAGAAUCACUGAUCUCUCCCAAAGAAGAUGGAUGGGCACAGAACUUCUACCUGGAUCUGCUUUAAAUGUGGCAAAGCUGGCCACUGGGCAAAGAGCUGCCUUUCACCUUGACUGCUGCCAAGACCCUGUUCAGACUGUGGACAAGCAUGACAUUGGGAAGCUGAUUUACCCACUUUGCCUAGACAAGAUAGCCCCACCACUCUAUAGGAAAGUCUGUCAGAUCUUCUGGAUCUGGCAGCUGAAGACUGAUACUGCCUUGGGACUUCUGUCCCCAAUGACCACAGAAGAACCUAGGGUGAAUGUCCAGGAAGCUGCUGCGGGUGUCAAGAAAGGAAACUUUGGAUGAACAACCCACGUGGAGUUUAUUUACAGGAAGAGGG
rnacentral:lncRNA from 1 species